rnacentral:rRNA from 1 species
AUUGAACGCUGGCGGCAGGCCUAACACAUGCAAGUCGAGCGGAUGAAGGGAGCUUGCUCCUGGAUUCAGCGGCGGACGGGUGAGUAAUGCCUAGGAAUCUGCCUGGUAGUGGGGGAUAACGUCCGGAAACGGGCGCUAAUACCGCAUACGUCCUGAGGGAGAAAGUGGGGGAUCUUCGGACCUCACGCUAUCAGAUGAGCCUAGGUCGGAUUAGCUAGUUGGUGGGGUAAAGGCCUACCAAGGCGACGAUCCGUAACUGGUCUGAGAGGAUGAUCAGUCACACUGGAACUGAGACACGGUCCAGACUCCUACGGGAGGCAGCAGUGGAGAAUAUUGGACAAUGGGCGAAAGCCUGAUCCAGCCAUGCCGCGUGUGAAGAAGGUCUUCGGAUUGUAAAGCACUUUAAGUUGGGAGGAAGGGCAGUAAGUUAAUACCUUGCUGUUUUGACGUUACCAACAGAAUAAGCACCGGCUAACUUCGUG